GGAAGGUACCGGCCCGUGGGGGCCAGCCGGCCUCGAAAGCCGGAGGCGCCGGAAACGGCGGGCGUUCGACUCGUCUACCUUCCGCCA
rnacentral:tRNA from 1 species